rnacentral:rRNA from 1 species
GGAGGGCAAGUCUGGUGCCAGCAGCCGCGGUAAUUCCAGCUCCAAUAGCGUAUAUUAAAAUUGUUGCAGUUAAAAAGCUCGUAGUUGAAUUUCUGCUGCAUUACAUAUCUCUUGUUUGAGUUUGUUUUUGUGGCUUAUUUCGGUUUGAUUUUUUCUUUCCGGAUGAUUACUUUGAGAAAAUUAGAGUGCUCAAAGCAGGCUUUUGCCUUGAAUAGUUUAGCAUGGAAUAAUAAAGUAGGACUUUGGUUCUAUUUUGUUGGUUUUAGGUACCAAAGUAAUGGUUAAUAGGAACAGUUGGGGGCAUUCGUAUUUAACUGUCAGAGGUGAAAUUCUUAGAUUUGUUAAAGACGAACUACUGCGAAAGCAUUUGCCAAGGAUGUUUUCAUUAAUCAAGAACGAAAGUUAGGGGAUCGAAGACGAUCAGAUACCGUCGUAGUCCUAACCAAUAAACUAA